rnacentral:rRNA from 1 species
CCUACGGGAGGCAGCAGUAGGGAAUCUUCCACAAUGGGCGAAAGCCUGAUGGAGCAACGCCGCGUGGGUGAAGAAGGUCCUCGGAUCGUAAAACUCUGUUGAUACAGAAGAAAGUGCGUGAGAGUAACUGUUCACGUUUCGACGGUAUCUAACCAGAAAGCCACGGCUAACUACGUGCCAGCAGCCGCGGUAAUACGUAGGUGGCAAGCGUUAUCCGGAUUUAUUGGGAGGAAAGGGAACGCAGGCGGUCUUUUAGGUGUGAUGUGAAAGCCUUCGGCUUAACCGGAGUAGUGCAUUGGAAACUGGGGGACUUGAGUGCAGAAGAGGAGAGUGGAACUCCAGGUGUAGCGGUGAAAUGCGUAGAUAUAUGGAAGAACACCAGUGGCGAAGGCGGCUCUCUGGUCUGUAACUGACGCUGAGGUUCGAAAGCGUGGGUAGCAAACAGGAUUAGAUACCCUAGUAGUC